rnacentral:rRNA from 1 species
CAGUAGCCGCGGGAAUACAGAGGGUGCGAGCGUUAAUCGGAUUUACUGGGCGUAAAGCGUGCGUAGGCGGCUUCUUAAGUCGGAUGUGAAAUCCCUGAGCUUAACUUAGGAAUUGCAUUCGUUACUGGGAAGCUAGAGUAUGGGAGAGGAUGGUAGAAUUCCAGGUGUAGCGGUGAAAUGCGUAGAGAUCUGGAGGAAUACCGAUGGCGAAGGCAGCCAUCUGGCCUAAUACUGACGCUGAGGUACGAAAGCAUGGGGAGCAAACAGGAUUAGAUACCCCCGUAGUCCCUGUCUCUUAUAC